rnacentral:rRNA from 1 species
GUAACCCGACUCCACGAAGCUGGAUUCGCUAGUAAUCGCGCAUCAGCCACGGCGCGGUGAAUACGUUCCCGGGCCUUGUACACACCGCCCGUCAAGCCAUGGGAGCCGGGGGUACCUGAAGUGCGUAACCGCGAGGAGCGCCCUAGGGUAAAACUGGUGACUGGGGCUAAGUCGUAACAAGGUACC